UAUAUUAUGACUUCUCCCUAAACAGUCUGCAAAUGAUGAUAACCUCAAAACUUUAUCUCUUGGAGACAGAUCAGAGCUCUGGGCUGCAAGGCAGGUGUUCUCUCCCCCCCAGUCUGUGGAGUGGGCACACACUGGAACCAUCUCUGUCACCCCAGCUGCAACCAGGCCAAGGGAUGUCCCAGCGCCAGCUCCUGGUGUCUUUGUAAGGAAGCAGGCAGGGAAGGCAGUUGCAGAAAAGAAAAUCCAAGAUUCAACAGUACCAGAGCACACUAGGAAUAGAGCCCAUCUGAAGAGUGUCAGUGGAGCAGAUCUGUGAAAACAUAGCCUUCUUCUGCACAGAGGUGAAAACUAUACUCUCAAUAUCCCUUCUUUAUAAGAACUGAACAGCAAAAAAAAUUACUGCUGAAUUGAAACUUUUUAAAAAGA